CUCAGAUUGGAACCUAGAAAAGCAGGACCCCAAAUCUGUGCUCUUAAGCACAAGGAGGAGGUUUCACACCAGAUGAAGGUGCCUACCCCGUGUCCUUCUUGGCAGGCUCCCAGAAUGACAGGACAAAGCGAUACUGGCUGCUCUGGAGGCUCUGAAACUUCAGUGGUGAACAGAGGAUCCUCUGGUGUCAAAAAGCACAGGUCCCUUAGGAACUGCUGUAAUUUUGUUUCGUGAAAAAAAAAUGUUGGAAAUACUGCAGACUACUGCAAGAGAAAUUUCAUGUGAAGAGAGUGAGAAGAAAGAAGUCUGCAAGCCAGGAAGAGAUGCUUGACCAGAGACCAAUCCUGCUGGCUCCUGGAUUUUGGACUUCCAGCCUCCAGAACUAUAAUAACCCCUGGGUGAGUGGGACUGUUGGUGUUCAGUUGCUCAAUCAUGUCUGACUCUCUGACCCCAUGGACUGCAGCACGCCAGGCUUCCCUGUCCUUCACUAUCUCCUGGAGUUUGCUCAAAAGCAUGUCCGUUGAGUCGGUGAUGCCAUCAAACCAUCUCAUCCUCCGAUGUCUGCUCCUCCUGCCCUCAAUCUUUCCCAUCAUCAGAGUCCUUUCCAAUGAGCCGGCUCUUCACGUCAGGUGACCAGAGUAUUGGAGCUUCAGCUUCAGCAUCAGUCCUUCCAGUGAAUAUUCAGGGUUGAUUUCUUCGAGGAUUGACUGGUAUGAUACCCUUGCUGUCCAAGGGACUCUCAAAAGUCAUUUUCUUGCACCACAGUUUGAAAGCAUCAGUUCUUUGGCUCAGCCUUUUUUAUGGUCCAACUCUUACAUCUACACAUGGCUACUGGAAAAACCAUAGCUUUGUCUAUAUAGACUGUUGUCAGCAAAGUGAUAUCUCUGCUUUUUAGUAUGCUGUCUAGGUUUGUCAUAGCUUUUCUUCCAAGGAGC
ensembl:lncRNA